rnacentral:rRNA from 1 species
AGAGUUUGAUCAGUGGCUCAGGACGAACGCUGGCGGCGUGCUUAACACAUGCAAGUCGAACGGGCACUUCGGUGCUAGUGGCGAACGGGUGAGUAAAGCGCAGGUAAUCUGCCGCAAAGUCGGGGACAACGUCCCGAAAGGGACGCUAAUACCGGAUGUUGUGCGGAGUUCGCAUGGAUUCUGUACUAAAGAUUUAUCGCUUUGCGAGGAGCCUGCGUCCGAUUAGGUAGUUGGUGUGAUAAAAGCGCACCAAGCCGACGAUCGGUAGCCGGUCUGAGAGGAUGAACGGCCACAUUGGGACUGAGACACGGCCCAAACUCC